rnacentral:rRNA from 1 species
AGUGAACGCUGGCGGCGUGCCUAAUACAUGCAAGUCGAACGGAGUGGCGCGCGGGUGGGUAAUUUAUAUCUAAUCUGCCCUCCACUAGAGGACAACAGUUGGUAACAGCUGCUAAUACUCUCUAGUUUCGGAUGAGGGUAUAUUGUAUCAGCUAGUUGGUGAGGUAAUGGAUAACCAAGGCGAUGACGCAUAACUGGUCUGAGAGGAUGAUCAGUCACACUGUAACGGAGACACGGUCCAGACUUAUACGGGAGGGAGCAGUAGGGAAUAGCGCUCAAGGGGGGAAACCGUGAAGCAGCAACGCGGCGUGGAGGAUGAUAAUUUGCGGAGAGGAAACUCCGUUUGCUAGGGAAGCGGUACCUAACGAAGAAGCACCGGCUAACUCCGUGCCAGCAGCCGCGGUAAUAC